CCAGACUCCUACGGGAGGCAGCAGUGAGGAAUAUUGGUCAAUGGACGCAAGUCUGAACCAGCCAUGCCGCGUGCAGGAUGACGGCUCUAUGAGUUGUAAACUGCUUUUGUACGAGGGUAAACCCCGAUACGUGUAUCGGGUUGAAAGUAUCGUACGAAUAAGCAUCGGCUAACUCCGUGCCAGCAGCCGCGGUAAUACGGGGGAUGCGAGCGUUAUCCGGAUUUAUUGGGUUUAAAGGGUGCGUAGGCGGCGCUUCAGGUCAGCGGUGAAAUACCGGGGCUCAACCCCGGGGCUGCCGUUGAAACCGGAGCGCUAGAAUUCCGAUGCCGUCGGAGGAAUGUGUGGUGUAGCGGUGAAAUGCAUAGAUAUCACACAGAACACCGAUUGCGAAGGUAUCUGACGAAUCGGAGAUUGACGCUGAUGCACGAAAGCGUGGGUAUCGAACAGGAUUAGAUACCCUUGUAU
rnacentral:rRNA from 1 species